CUGAAGAUAAAGAUGAUGGCUAAAGUUUUUCUUCUAUCUGUCCUAUGCCUAGAGAACGGGACUUUACUGGAUCUGUUGAGUAAAUAAAUGAGUAGUCAUCUGUCAUUGGAAUACCCCACCAUUACCCAUCUACCUGAAGGUAAUGCUCUCUGCUCAUGAAAACCCUCACAUGAAGGACUCUCUAAACCACAACGGUUAGAAAUUUAGAAGAAGCUCAGCGGGGCAAUUGGUCUCUAACUCAUGUGGUGUCAGCUGCAGCAUCAAGGCUGGAAGAUCCCCUUCCACAGUGGCUUCUUCAUUCACACGUUGCAUUUUGUAAUGUGAUCCUCACAUCAUCCUUGGAAAAAACAAAGUAUGGAGAAAUCUAUGGUGUAGAAAGCCAUAAGUAAUUCACCAAAGCCUGCAGGUGCUGGACAUAUUCCCU
rnacentral:lncRNA from 1 species